CGGAGCGUGGUGCACCGGUAGCACGCAGCGUUCGGGACGCUGAGGCACAGGGUUCAAUUCCCUGCGCUCCGACCA
rnacentral:tRNA from 1 species